CUUUUGUAAUAAGAAGUGGUUUUUACAACAAAACAAAAGCUUUUAUCACAUGAUAUUUUGAUCCCUCAUUUCAUGUGUAGUCAUAACAUUGAAGGGCUACUCUCAUUUGAAGGGAUUGUUCCCAACCUUUUGGAUAUAUUUCUUCAUAACGACAGUUUUCUUUUCUUGACCAUCGUAAAUGAAAAAGUUGAGACUAAAACUAUGCUUGAAACACACGUGUCACUCAAACGACUUUAAAGUAG
rnacentral:lncRNA from 1 species